UCCUUAUCAAGAGCGACGGAGGGAACAGGCCCUGUGAUGUCCGACAACCUGCUUUUAAGAAAGCAAGGUGCCAAAUCCUGCGGGAAAGCCGAAAGAUGAGGU
rnacentral:ncRNA from 2 species